UACGUAGGGGGCGAGCGUUGUCCGGAUUUAUUGGGCGUAAAGAGCUCGUAGGCGGCUCAGUAAGUCGGGUGUGAAAACUCCAGGCUCAACCUGGAGACGCCACCCGAUACUGCUGUGGCUAGAGUCCGGUAGGGGAGCAUGGAAUUCCUGGUGUAGCGGUGAAAUGCGCAGAUAUCAGGAAGAACACCCGUGGCGAAGGCGGUUCUCUGGGACGGUACUGACGCUGAGACGCGAAAGCGUGGGGAGCGAACAGG
rnacentral:rRNA from 1 species